AUUGAACGCUGGCGGCAUGCCUUACACAUGCAAGUCGAACGGUAACAGGUCUUCGGAUGCUGACGAGUGGCGAACGGGUGAGUAAUGCAUCGGAACGUGCCCAGUAGUGGGGGAUAGCCCGGCGAAAGCCGGAUUAAUACCGCAUACGACCUGAGGGAGAAAGGGGGGGAUCGCAAGACCUCUCGCUAUUGGAGCGGCCGAUGUCAGAUUAGCUAGGUGGUGGGGUAAAGGCCUACCAAGGCAACGAUCUGUAGUUGGUCUGAGAGGACGACCAGCCACACUGGGAACGAGACACGGCCCAGACUCCUACGGGAGGCAGCAGUGGGGAAUUUUGGACAAUGGGCGCAAGCCUGAUCCAGCAAUGCCGCGUGCAGGAAGAAGGCCUUCGGGUUGUAAACUGCUUUUGUCAGGGAAGAAAUCUUCUGGGUUAAUACCUCGGGAGGAUGACGGUACCUGAAGAAUAAGCACCGGCUAACUACGUGCCAGCCGCCGCGGUAAUAC
rnacentral:rRNA from 1 species